rnacentral:rRNA from 1 species
UACGUAGGGUGCGAGCGUUGUCCGGAAUUAUUGGGCGUAAAGGGCUCGUAGGCGGUUUGUCGCGUCGGGAGUGAAAACUCAGGGCUUAACCCUGAGCCUGCUUCCGAUACGGGCAGACUAGAGGUAUGCAGGGGAGAAUGGAAUUCCUGGUGUAGCGGUGAAAUGCGCAGAUAUCAGGAGGAACACCGGUGGCGAAGGCAGCCCCCUGGGUCAAGACUGACGCUCAUGCACGAAAGCGUGGGGAGCAAACAGG